UACGUAGGGUGCGAGCGUUGUCCGGAAUUAUUGGGCGUAAAGAGCUUGUAGGCGGUUUGUCGCGUCUGCUGUGAAAAUCCGGGGCUCAACCCCGGACUUGCAGUGGGUACGGGCGGACUGGAGUACUGCAGGGGAGACUGGAAUUCCUGGUGUAGCGGUGAAAUGCGCAGAUAUCAGGAGGAACACCGGUGGCGAAGGCGGGUCUCUGGGCAGUUACUGACGCUGAGGAGCGAAAGCGUGGGGAGCGAACAGG
rnacentral:rRNA from 1 species